CACAUUACAGGUCUUCUAUACCGUCACGCUUUACUUUUCAGAAGGUCAUUCAUUCUACCAUUAUGUUACUUAACUUCCGUAAUUUUUUGAAUAUAAUCAUUAUCCAAAAUAGUACAGUCGGAUUAAGAGUUUUAGUUUUACUAUACUUUAUAUAUAGAAUUAUCUGAGAAUAUCUCACAUUCUCCUUAAGACGUCGAGAUAAUUUUAGUUCAAUGUUGAUAGGCAAAUGGUUUGCAAAUGUUAUGAAUUAUUGGAGUGAUCAAACAGUUUGAUUGGAUGGGAUGGAGAAUUAAAGGGGAAUAUAUAUUGAUCUAAUGGAAGAGAGAAAUAUAGGGCAUCUUUUAUUU
rnacentral:lncRNA from 1 species